rnacentral:rRNA from 1 species
UACGUAGGGUGCGAGCGUUAAUUCGGAAUUACUGGGCGUAAAGCGUGCGCAGGCGGUUCGUUGUGUCGGCGGUGAAAGCCCCGGGCUCAACCUGGGAAUGGCCGUUGAAACUGGCGAACUGGAGUGUGGCAGAGGGGGGUGGAAUUCCGCGUGUAGCAGUGAAAUGCGUAGAGAUGCGGAGGAACACCGAUGGCGAAGGCAGCCCCCUGGGCUGACACUGACGCUCAGGCACGAAAGCGUGGGGAGCAAACAGG